CCUACGGGCGGCAGCAGUGAGGAAUAUUGGUCAAUGGACGAGAGUCUGAACCAGCCAAGUAGCGUGAAGGAUGACUGCCCUAUGGGUUGUAAACUUCUUUUAUAUGGGAAUAAAAUGUUCCACGUGUGGGACUUUGUAUGUACCAUAUGAAUAAGGAUCGGCUAACUCCGUUCCAGCAGACGCGGUAAUACGGAGGGUCCGAGCGUUAUCCGGAUUUAUUGGGUUUAAAGGGAGCGUAGGUGGAUUGUUAAGUCAGUUGUGAAAGUUUGCGGCUCAACCGUAAAAUUGCAGUUGAAACUGGCAGUCUUGAGUACAGUAGAGGUGGGCGGAAUUCGUGGUGUAGGGGUGAAAUGCUUAGAUAUCACGAAGAACUCCGAUUGCGAAGGCAGCUCACUGGACUGCAACUGACACUGAGGCUCGAAAGUGUGGGUAUCAAACAGGAUUAGAUACCCGAGUAGUC
rnacentral:rRNA from 1 species